UACGAAGGGAGCUAGCGUUGUUCGGAAUUACUGGGCGUAAAGCGCGCGCAGGCGGUGUGACAAGUCAGAGGUGAAAUCCCAGAGCUUAACUCUGGAACUGCCUUUGAAACUGUCAUGCUGGAAUACGAGAGAGGGUAGUGGAAUUCCGAAUGUAGCGGUGAAAUGCGUAGAUAUUCGGAGGAACACCAAUGGCGAAGGCAGCUACCUGGCUCGUUAUUGACGCUGAGGCGCGAAAGCGUGGGGAUCAAACAGG
rnacentral:rRNA from 1 species